rnacentral:rRNA from 1 species
CCUUUGUACACACCGCCCGUCGCUACUACCGAUUGAAUGGCUCAGUGAGGCCUUCGGACUGGCUCAGAGGGGUUGGCAACGACCGCUCAGAGCCGGAAAGUUGGUCAAACUUGGUCAUUUAGAGG